CAGACAACCGAAACAGGGAUCAUUUCUAUAGUGUGUGACUAGAGAAGUUUCUCUGGUCGUGUAGAGCACCAAAAUCCACGAGGAGGAGGAGGCGCAGCAUUCUCUCCUGAGCGUGUAGCCGGCUCCUGGCGCAGCCUCACUGCAGCUGCCCUUUGCCAUUGCUGAUCGUUCUUCUCCGCCCUCAUGCGAAGCGAGAGGGAGAGAAUGCAGUCUGAAUGGC